rnacentral:rRNA from 1 species
GACAGAGGAUGCAAGCGUUAUCCGGAAUGAUUGGGCGUAAAGCGUCUGUAGGUGGCUUUUAAGUCCGCCGUCAAAUCCAGGCUCAACCCUGGACAGGCGGUGGAAACUACCAAGCUGGAGUACGGUAGGGCAGAGGAAUUUCCGGUGGAGCGGUGAAAGUGCGUAGAGAUCGGAAAGAACACCAACGGCGAAAGCACUCUGCUGGGCCGACACUGACACUGAGAGACGAAAGCUAGGGAGCGAAUGGG